ACUUUCUGAACCACAUUCAUUGGCUUGCAUGCACUAUUCUUAGGCAACAUCAAACUGACUUUUAUUGAAACUUAGAAACAAUGGCCGGCAGUGGGAAUGUUUAUGGAAAAACACCCCUUCAUAAUCUCAGCUUCAAACCUUCUGAUAUCCUACACCAUUUCCUAUUUUUCCAGCUCAUUCCCUCCAGUCCUUGGGCUCUAGUAGCUGUUCCACCUCUCCUCCAAUCCAUUGACCCCAUCACCUUCUUGCUGAUCAUUACCUCCCCUCAAGUCUUUACUGCAUGAUUUAAUUCCCUUGUGUACAUAUUUAAUUUCCCUGCCCCUUUCUGCCUCCAUCACCCUACCUACCUCCAUCACAAACCUAAAGUGGAUCAGGUAGCCAGCCAAUCUUGAAGCAUUUCCCUGAAUUCAUUCCCUCUCUCCUCGACCAUCAUCUGAUCCUUUCUCCUCUCCCCUCCAACUUCCAACGCCCCUCCCUACUCCUCACUCUCAGCUCAUGACCUGAUUGUUUAUUUCACUGAGAGGACACAAGCAACCAGAAAAGAAAUUCCUCAUGCUUUCAUCACCAAAACUCAUAACCUAGGUGCAUCUGUGCUGACAAGCCAGCCUUCAGCUGUUGAUGUAGGGGGCAAACUAUCCCUGUACCCCUGUAGGGCAGUCCUUGCACGUGUGUGCUAGAUUUUGCAUAUUCCCCAAACUUGCUGCUUACUCAAGGGCAACACUUCUGCAAUUUUAUAUUCUCUCUUGCAUGAUCAGUCUCCUUCUCCUUACUUAAUCAUUACCAUCAGCAUACAAGGGUUCUACAAUAUCUCAUCCUUAAAAAAUUUUCAAUAGAGGCAUUAAUUGUAAGCUUUAUAAACAAAUUUCUGUCCGGUCAUUUUAUUGUAUUGUAUUGUAUUUUUUAUUUUAGAGAGAGAGGGAGAGCACACGAGGCGGACAGAGGGACAGAGGGAGAGAGAGAAUCUUAAGCAGACUUUACGCUCAGCACAGAGUCCAAUGUGGGGCUUGAUCCCAGGACCCUGGGCCAAAAUCAAGAGUCUGACACUCAACCGACAGCCACCCAUGUGCCCCUGUCUGGUCAUUUUAAUGAGGGAAAACAUUAUGUGAAAAGAAUGCAAAAUCCUUACCAUGACCUGCAGACUGCAUACCAUCUGUCCCUCUGCACGUCUCCGACCUCAUGGGCCAUCACCGGCACCCUUGCUCCUGUAACCAAACCAACAUGAGUUUGCUUCUUGCUUAACUUUUCAGCUUUGCAAAAUGUGUAAGUGGGAAUAGCUGUUCCUUCUCUUGAGAAAUCACUAAAAACCUUCCAUUAUUUAUACGGAUUUGAGCAGAAAGAGGGAUGCAUCUUUCACUAAAAUAAUUUAAGGGCUCAGGAUUGGGGAGCCUCAAACCAAAAGUUAACAGAUCCUGAUGCUGAGCACAACUGAGACAGAGGAUGACGUGAACAACUAGGACAAAGACUGCCAGGCUGUGGAUGGUGCAGGCUUUGGAGAUGUGAUCAGAAUAGGAUCAAGAAUAGGAGAUGUGAUCAGAUUGCUUCCAGAAAGUUCACACAGAUGGCACUGUGGAGUCUGAACAGAUGAAGAAGGGAAGGGAAAGAAAGCUCUUAGAAGACUAUUUUGAUGGUCCAUGGGAACAACGGUGAGAGCCAUUUGUGGGACUGUGACAGUGGGAAUAGAGAGGAAGGGACAUAUCUGAGAGAUGGCUCAGAGGCUGAAUCAAUAGAAUCUAUUCAUUUACUCAACAACUUUUUAUUCAGUGCCUGCUGUGUGUCGGUAUGAACCUGUUCAGUAUGAACCUGAAGAGAAGAUAAGCACUUCAGGAAUGCUGAUGGGGGAAUAGUCAGAGUGGAAUGGAGUGAAGUAGUACUAGUUUAGGUGGGCUUCCUGGAAAAGGUGUGGUCUGAUACACGUUUCCAAGGAAGGAAAAGAGACAUGCAUUUGUAGAAGGAGACAGGGGAAUACUUUAAAGAUUGGCCAAGGGUUACUGAGAAGGCAAGAAUGAGGAGAUAACCGGCAGGAAUGCCUGAUUAGCAAAGAGAAUCUGUGAAUGGAGGAAAAAGAUGGGAAAAGAUAGGAGGCAUUUGAGUGAGAAUGCUGAGCAGAAGAAACACCUAAAUUUGAUGUGCUAAGUAAGCCACACAGAACUGUGGGUUUUUAGGAGAGGAGUUAUGUGGUAUAAUAGAAAGAGAUUGAAUCAAUGCUUGCAGACCUGAGUUAUGCCACUAUUAGCGAGGUCAACAUUCAAGUUAAUGAAGGUCUCCAAAGCUCAUAUUUGUGCAGUUAGAAUGGGAGAAAAAAGGUGUUUAGAUGGAAACCAAGCUAAGAGACAAUUAUGGUAGUCAAUUAAAAAAUGCAUGUAAAGUGCAAACCGUGAACUAGACAUUAUAUAGACACUGGAGAACACCAGGAAUGAGACAUGACAGGCAAAUGGACUGUCUCAACUGCUGGGGAACUGGAAGCAAGAGUACUGUUCAGGAAAAAUUGGAUACUUGCCUUUACUUCUGGCCCUCCCAUCUCCCCUCACUUCUACUUCUGGGUGUGGCCUUGCUGAUGCUGAGUCUGAUUUAAGAACCAAAAGGUUGAUGGGUACCCAGAAAUAUUUCCUAUCAAAGGCAUGAACUGUUUGCAAACAUUCUUGAAUAGUGAUGCAAGCUCCAGGUAUGAAGGGGUUAGGUUUGAGUAGCCUCAGGACACCCAGACCCUCGGGUGCUCUAGCACCAUAGGAAGCUGCUAACAAUGGCUUCCUCUGCUUCUGCUCUAGGUGACUGCCUCGCUCGUUCCAGCAUUCUUUCGUAUUUUCCCCCCUAUCUUUUAAUACCAUUUAUUGUAUAAUUAUUUGUCUUUAUAAAAUAUUUUCUCAUUUUUAACAUUUGUGUGAAGUACAACUCAUGAAAGCAUCAAGCCACUUAAGUCCUUGAUAGUAAGUAGUUCGCUAUUCUUAUUCAUUACCUUUUACAUAUCUUUUAUGGUGAGUUACAUAAAAUUUCCUUAAAAUUCUCAUGACCAAUAAAUUAUUUAUUUGUUAAUUUAUUUACUUAAGAUACAACGAUAGCUACUGUAUUUGGAAGGAAUCUACAUGAUAGCAAUACCACUUAGGAAUAACACUAGUUAUUUUAACAAUACAAUAAUAUAACCCUGACAUACUUCUAAAGUCCCCACUCUUAAUCUUAUGAUGGUAAACAAAAUUGGCAUUUGAUUUUGACAACAACUGGUCUUGGCAGAGAAAAUCUCUUGAGAAUUUUUCACUAUGAUUUUAGUUGCCACAACUAAGUGAAAGAAUGAGUCUCUAACUCUAGUAGGUAUGCAAUAUUUAGACCACUACCUCCAGACUUUCGUUUCAGGGCUUUUAAGCUUCUAACAUUCUUGACCAAAUGUAUCAGGCACAUAACCUUACAGAUUAAGGGGACGUGGUUUCUUACUGCCAACUUAAACCUAAUUGAAUCAUUCAUCAGUCUGUGCCUUCAGUGGAUGCACAAAUAGGAAAGCAGACAGAUAAAUAAAUAUAUUGCAUUAUAACAAGUAGUCCUUAUUUCUGCAGACUGGCAGGGUGGUGCUGGGAACCUGAAACAAAACAAUUAGCUCUGUUGAGUUUGGCUGUUACCUUAAUUUUAGAAUCUUUUUCUUUCUGUUUCCUUCUAAAACUUUGUACUGACUCCUGACAAGUGGGGGCACCCUGGAUGCCCAGGGGCUGGGUGGGGACUUGAGAUAAGAGAAGUGUGAUUCUUCCUGCCCCCUACAAAAGUAACCCUGGAUUUUCCUGCCUAGAAUUUCACUGCCUGACCUACCUGCUGUUUUCUCAUUUUUCUCUGUCUUGGCCCUUCUUGGGUUGCUGGUCUGAGGGAAGCUGAUUGAGGAAAAUAACCUUUCUUUGUCUUCUGUAGAUACUCAUCCAGAAGUCAAGGGCCAAGCUAGAGGCUGGAAACCUGGGCUCUGUCAUUAGUUAGACAGGAAAAUUAAGACAAGUCAUUUAUUCUUUUGGGUGUAGUUGCUCGUCAGUUAAAAAGGAACUAUCUAGCCUUCUUCCUCAAAAGACUAAUGUGAAGAUAAAAUACUACUUGGGAAAGGCAUUUUUGCAAAAUAGAGAAUCUUGAAAUACAAUAUACUAUUUAAUUAUCAAUCUUUUCUAUAGCUUUUUCGAGCCUCCAGUAUCUACAAGGCAUUUUUAGUUUCAUCAGCUGUCUUAAAGCAUUUUCCUUAAAUUCUUUCAGUUUCAGUCACAUUACUGGUAGGCAGCCAUAAUUCAUGUUCUUGCUGAGGGACACCUAAAGUCAGCUCUUGCUCUUAACCAGGUAUCUGAAGCCAGAUUUAUAUUUCUUUAAAAAAAAAAAAAAAGGGAAACGAAAGCCUCAAAGAAAGGUUGUCUGGCAACCGGAUAAAAGGAUUUUCUUUCAGGCUUUCCAAAAAGACAGAAUGGGAGUCUUGAAAUAUAAAUUACUUUUUAAUGGUGUCUUGAAAAGGUGUUAUUCUCAACCAUCUGCCUCUCUUACCCCCUUCCUGAAUAUGGCCUAUACAAGCAAUGAAACCAUUGUGUAUCUUUAAAUUGAAUAAAAGGAGAGAUAUUUUAGGAGAUGGAAGGAACCUUAGAGAUUUCUUGGUUUAUCCGUCUAUUUUCUAAAGGGGGGAAGUGGGAUUUAAAACAGGUAAAAGAUUUUCCCUUGAUCUGUAGCUUUUCAGUGCUGAGACCAAACCAGGGUUCCUCACUCCCAGCCCCGGGUUCUCACCACUGGCCAGAGGUGAGAUCUGAGCCCAAAUAACUACACUUGAGGCAAAGAAUGAUAGUCUAAGUAUAGAACUGAGUUUCAAUGCCCUACCUGGUGGAAAGUGUAGCAGAGGAGUCAAAGAUCCCAGGCCAGGGGAUAUCCCUGUGAAAAGGCAUUUGUACUGAAGAACAAAUAUGAUACUUCAGAUGUUUACUUUGGAGGUAAAACAUCUGCUGUGUUGAUCUGAAUUGUGCCUGUUUCACAGAGGAAAGGAAACUGGUUGGUGUCCUUUCUCCUAGCCCAGAAUUUCUCCAGUUAUUCUGAUCUUUCUGCUCUGGUGUAGGCCCUCCCUCAUGGUCUGCCCCAGUGGAAAGCCUGGUGGCCUUCCUGGAGUGUCAGGUUAUAGAUGAGAGUCCCAGGAGGAGGGAGAACAUUUUUCUGAUCAAAUCCUAUUACAGUGAACUCCCCAUGACUGUCUAGCUCCCUUGGUGUUAACACAAAUCAGCCUCACUUGGGUUAUGUAGGUCAAUGCCUGGGGCUUAGAAAUAGUUGUUUCACAUGAUCUCACUGUGAUGGAACAUCCUUCUUACUCCAUAUUCUCAUUUAAAAAUGACUUUCUGCUGAGUACAGAAGUAGAGUCUACCUGGAGAACAUGAGCCUGCCUCCACCUUUGCCUCUGCCUCUCUAUCCCAUGCCUGGGUGACACAGUGCAUGGCUCCCUGUUCUUUGCAGUGUAAGACCCACCACAUGAUACCUUACGCUGUGUUCUCCUAGGGUCUCUUCUCCAGUGGAAUUUGUGGUCAGUGGGUUUUUCCUUGGAGUCUUGAGGGUAUCACCUCUGCAGUGGAUUCUCAGGAGAUUAUUUAGUUAGUUACACAACUUCCAGGUAGGGUGGGGCAGUGAUUCCCAGGCUGGGGGAAUUGAAGUGUUAGGAAGUUCUAUGUAUGGGGGAUUCUGGGCACACAGAACCAUGGAGUCCUAAAGCUGGAAGAGGUGUUAGGACUCCUAGGGUCACUGGAGAUGGGUUUGGAUAUGAGACACCUUGGAGUCUGGCUGCAGCACGGGACCAAGGGGGAGGCAAAGAUAUGGCAGAGGAGAACAUAUUUGUUCAAGGAGAUCAAGCAAUGUGAAACUUGGGAAGAAGGCAGGAGAAAAGAGAGCAGUUCUUUGUGGCCCUGAGAGGUGAAGUGACUUGGCUAAGGACAUGAGUCUUUUCUGUGCCACUAAAACAGGCAGAUCUGUUUUCCAGAGCAGCUAGUUUGAAGAGGUAAAGAGAACUAAUCUUCCAUAAAUGAGUCGGAAUGAAGCCAGCUGUUUGCAGCUGGAGUUGGGCUAUGUGACUUCUGCCACCUGCUGCUGCCAAUUUGUUCCCAGGUUGACCAUCUGACCUUUUGUCCACAAAAUGAACCAGUGAAACACUCUUUCUGCCAACAAAGCAAGGGAAAGUGUCAUCUUCCUGCUGUUCCAUCAUGAGAGUAGCAUAUUUGGUGACUAUUGGUAUUUAAAAGUGCCAAUUACUCAUGUCAUCUGCCCUCCGGAUUUUGAACCAGUUGAGAAGUAGGCAUAGGAGUCCACAGGGCUCAGUUGCACCUGCCUUAUGCCAGUCCCGGGAGGACAGGGCUUGGAUGUCAGGGCACCAUGGACUUCAUAGUCUUGUCUGAAUUGAACAUAUGGCCCCAUCACAGCCAGGGAAGCUAAAUUACACAGGGGUAAAGGUAGACUUUAAGUCAUUGUUCAGUCCUUGGACAGGCUGGAUCCAAAAGAGGGCCAGCGAGAGCUAGUCAUGUGCUCAGGACACUUUCCUGUAUCAGUAGAUGAGAGAGAAAGAAAAUGGAGGAGACGGGGAGAGGGCACAAGUUCUUAUUUCAAGAUGUGCUGCAGAUAUAGGAGGAAAAAAAGAGCUCCUCCACAGCCACCCUGUCUUUCUCAGUGACAUUUACUUUUCUCCACACCUUCUUCACUUGCUGUUGUCCCGGAGGUUGUCUUCUGCUUACAUGGUGUGUCCCUUCAGCCCAUACUGUGCUGAACAGGGUAAGUUUCUCAGCAAAUCCAUGUUCAGACCUUGAUGUACAUCUUGGUGAAAUAGGAACCACCCAACUGAGCAAGUGUUUGUCCUGAUUGGGUCUUCCCAGAGACAAGGAUUUAGGCACCAGGAGUAUAUUUGGGAAGUGAUGCCAGGAAACACCCAUAGAGGAAGGGGGAAGGGAGGCAACCAGCAAAGGAGUGUUAUAAGCACCCAUGUGGGUGACUGGAGUUUAUGCUCCUGGGGAACUCUACAGCCAGCACACAAAAGAGAUCGAGAGCUCUUCCAGUCGGAGUGAGGGAGCUGGUAUUUGUUUACCGCAUUUCAUCAGCCAUCAUUUGAGUCUGUUUUUCUCGCACUUCCAGCCUGUGGUGUACAUGAUAUGCUAUUUGUGCUUUUUGGAGUAAAUCCAAUCUAUCAGUUAGGUGUGAGCCACUCACCAACUCCCUGUGGUGUGUCUCUGGGUUUUUUGUGGCUUUUGUCACAGAGGUUUUUCAAGCUCCCUCUCAGGUACAAUGGCAUGCUGCAGUCUCUGGCAGUCCCACCACGUGCUGUGCUGACAACCCCCCUCCCCA